rnacentral:rRNA from 1 species
CGACGCCGCGUGAGUGAAGAAGGCCUUCGGGUUGUAAAACUCUUUUGAGGGGGAAGAGCGAGGACGGUACCCCUGGAAUAAGCGUCGGCUAACUACGUGCCAGCAGCCGCGGUAAGACGUAGGACGCGAGCGUUAUCCGGAUUUACUGGGCGUAAAGCGUCUGUAGGCGGAUGUGUAAGUUGAGCGUGAAAGCUCCGGGCUUAACCCGGAGAGGCCGUUCAAUACUGCAUAACUUGAGGGUGUCAGAGGGGAGCGGAAUUCCCGGUGUAGCGGUAAAAUGCGCAGAGAUCGGGAGGAACACCAGUGGCGGAGGCGGUUCCCUGGGGCACACCUGACGCUGAGAGACGAAAGCUAGGGGAGCGAACAGGAUUAGAGACCCUGGUAGUCCUAGCCCUAAACGAUGAAUGCUAGGUGUGGGAUCGAAUGGUUCCGUGCCGGAGCGAACGCGAUAAGCAUUCCGCCUGGGGAGUACGGCCGCAAGGUUCAAACUCAAACGAAUUGACCGGGACCCGCACAAGCAGCGGAGC